AGUGAACGCUGGCGGUAGGCCUAACACAUGCAAGUCGAACGGCAGCACAGUAAGAGCUUGCUCUUACGGGUGGCGAGUGGCGGACGGGUGAGGAAUACAUCGGAAUCUACUUUUUCGUGGGGGAUGACGUAGGGAAACUUACGCUAAUGCCGCAUACGACCUACGGGUGAAAGCAGGGGAUCUUCGGACCUUGCGCGAUUGAAUGAGCCGAUGUCGGAUUAGCUAGUUGGCGGGGUAAAGGCCCACCAAGGCGACGAUCCGUAGCUGGUCUGAGAGGAUGAUCAGCCACACUGGAACUGAGACACGGUCCAGACUCCUACGGGAGGCAGCAGUGGGGAAUAUUGGACAAUGGGCGCAAGCCUGAUCCAGCCAUACCGCGUGGGUGAAGAAGGCCUUCGGGUUGUAAAGCCCUUUUGUUGGGAAAGAAAAGCAGCAGGUUAAUACCCCGCUGUUCUGACGGUACCCAAAGAAUAAGCACCGGCUAACUUCGUG
rnacentral:rRNA from 1 species